UGGGGAAUAUUGGACAAUGGGCGCAAGCCUGAUCCAGCCAUGCCGCGUGUGUGAAGAAGGCCUUUUGGUUGUAAAGCACUUUAAGCGAGGAGGAGGCUACUUGGAUUAAUACUCUAGGAUAGUGGACGUUACUCGCAGAAUAAGCACCGGCUAACUCUGUGCCAGCAGCCGCGGUAAUACAGAGGGUGCGAGCGUUAAUCGGAUUUACUGGGCGUAAAGCGUGCGUAGGCGGCUUUUUAAGUCGGAUGUGAAAUCCCUGAGCUUAACUUAGGAAUUGCAUUCGAUACUGGGAAGCUAGAGUAUGGGAGAGGGUGGUAGAAUUCCAGGUGUAGCGGUGAAAUGCGUAGAGAUCUGGAGGAAUACCGAUGGCGAAGGCAGCCAUCUGGCCUGAUACUGACGCGGAGGUACGAAAGCAUGGGGAGCAAACAGG
rnacentral:rRNA from 1 species